rnacentral:rRNA from 1 species
UACAGAGGCCCCAAGCGUUACUGAGAAUCACUGGGUUUAAAGGGUGCGUAGGUGGUCCGUUAAGUUCGUUGUGAAAUCCCUGGGCUCAACCCAGGAAAUGCUUCGAAUACUGGCGGACUUGAGGCUAGUAGAGGUCACUGGAACUGACGGUGGAGCGGUGAAAUGCGUAGAUAUCAGGAGGAACACCGGUGGCGAAGGCGGUUCUCUGGGCAUGUCCUGACGCUGAGGAGCGAAAGUGUGGGGAGCGAACAGG